AUGUAGGAACGAGGGUUUCUCUAAACAAACAACCCCAUCAUGAGCAUCCUUUCUAAAACAAAUUGAAAAAAAUGUAGUUUCAUCAAACGAAAGGAAUAAAAAAAUAGGGCAUAGUCUUCCUUAUACCUCACCUGUAAUUCUCCCUCCCUCGCCAAUACGCUAAUUCAGAGAGUGUCAAUCUUCCCUUUCUUCGUCAACGCUACUAAAGAUUUUGCCUUUUAAGUUUUAACUAUUCUUAUUGCAGACCAAGGCACUGCUAGGCUGUGCUAUACCAUUAUCUUUUUGAAGUUUGAACAAAUUUAUUGGAGAUGUCAGGAAAAGGUCCUCCCACAGCGACUGGAAUGAUGCGGCAUGGCCCACCCCCUGGAGUCAGAGCUCCUGCUGGUGCACCUGUUACUGAGAUAGAUCAUAUUCUAAUGGAAAAUAGGAGAUUGGCAGAAUCGGUAGUAGCAAUGAGGCAUGAACAUGCCAUGGCUGAUCAGGAAAUACUUGGACUUAGGGCAUACAUUAGAAGUACCGAGACAGAAAGUGAUAUUCAGAUGCGUGUUUUACUUGAAAAGAUUUCAAAUAUGGAGUUAGCCCUUAAAGGUGGGGAGACUAUGAAGAAGGACCUUCAACAGGCACACAAGGAGGCACAAAGCUUAGUAGCUGCUAGACAAGAGCUUGUACUGAAGAUUCAGGAAGCUAGAAUGGAGCUUGAGAAAUGGCAUAAUGACAUUAAGAAGAUUCCUGAUAUGCUUUCUGAAGUGGAGAGCAUGAAACUGGAACACCAACAUCUACGUUCUGCCUUUGAACUUGAAAAGCGUAUGAACCUUGAUAUAGUGGAACAUCUGCAAAAGAUGGAGAAAACCCUAACCAGCAUGGAUAGGGAGAAAGAAAGUCUACGAGCUGAAAUACAGAACGUGGAGAAGAGAGUGCAAGCUCCCUAUGGUGGUGCAUAUCCAAAUAGUGAUGCUCAAUAUCCCUCUCUAUGCCAGACUAAUGAGCCGUAUUACGAUUCAUAUCGAAUAGCUUCCCUGGACAGAACAGCCCCUCAUAGCAGUGCCAAUGGCCCGUCUUCUGCAGCUGGCAACAUUGUUAAUCCUCCUGUGUCGAGUGCUGCUGGUCGAGGAUCUUGGAUGGGAGCUUAUGAUCCAAAUAUGAUAUGGAGGUAGAUUGUAGCUGUGAAACUCAUGUUCCGCACAUAUAAUAUCCAUUGCUUGAGCCAUUUUUGGUUUGCUGCGUUUUCUAUUUCUACCACCGUAUGAAGGGCCUACAUUUUGGAGGUGGUGAAGUUUUAUCUUAGCCAGAAGCAAGAACUAAAGAGAUGAAUAUCAGCUGUAUCUGUUCCAGAUAUUGCAAUCAUCAAUCUCGAAUCUGAUAUUCUUAUAUGAGAUUUUUAUGUACUAAUAAACUUGUUACCAUAGCUAACAGAGUUAUUAUAAAAUUUGUUGAUGAAAACAUGCAAGAACGAAAACGGUUGGCUUUGGUCGUGAUCAUGUAUAUACUUCCAUCUUUUAAUUGUAGAAGCUAAACUCCGCUCGCUCUUACAAAAGGGUAUUCUCAAGCUUACCUAGAGGUGUUUAUCGGUUAUCGGGUCGGUUUCGAACAGGUGUCAUUCGGUUCGAUUGUAUUUAAGAUCGAUUCAGUUAGUUACAGUUCGGUUGACGAUCAGUUAUUCGAGCUAUCGGGUUUGCACCGGUUUAAUGUCAGUUGAAGUUUGUGUCAAAUCUCCAUCGAUCUCGAGUUGUCAUCGGUUAAUAAUUGAUUCAAUUUUACCGGGUAUAGAUCGAAUUCGGGUAUUUUUUUUGAGUAUAAUUCGGCUACGAGUUACUAUAAGAUUAAGUUGCUACUUGUUUUUCAAUUGCUGAUCAAAUUCUUUUUACUAUAGGGAACAUAGUUAUAAUGCAAAUCAAU